CGAACGCUGGCGGCAGGCUUCAUACAUGCAAGUCGCGCGUGAAAGCUCCUUCGGGAGUAAGUAGAGCGGCGGACGGGUGAGUAACAGGUGGAUAAUCUGCCCUUUGGCGGGGGACAACGGUUGGAAACGACCGCUAAUACCGCGUACGAUCGCUUGGUCACAAGGCCGAGCGAAGAAAGGCGCUUUCAAGCGUCGCCGAAGGAUGGGUCCGCCCCCCAUUAGCUAGUUGGUGAGAUAACAGCUCACCAAGGCAACGAUGGGUAGCCGAGCUGAGAGGUUGAUCGGCCACACUGGGACUGAGAUACGGCCCAGACACCUACGGGUGGCAGCAGUAGGGAAUAUUGCGCAAUGGGCGAAAGCCUGACGCAGCCAUGCCGCGUGGAGGAUGAAGGCCUUCGGGUCGUAAACUCCUUUUCUGAGGGAAGAACAACCGGUGGAGGAAAUGCCACAGGUCUGACGGUACCUCAGGAAUAAGCAACGGCUAACUCC
rnacentral:rRNA from 1 species